rnacentral:lncRNA from 1 species
AUGCCGAAUUUGGCCUCCCUGGCACAGCGACAGAAAAAUGAAGAAGCCAAAGGAAACUGCCAUCCAUGUACUCUCUCUUUUUUGUUGUUGUUGAAAAAGGGUGCAAAUCUGGUGUUUUGCUUUGUUUUUUCCCCUCCCCCUUGCCUCUCAAAUGCCAGGCGCUGCCCGUGUCUCCCCGGGGCUGAGACCCCCGUGCCUUGCCAGGAGGUCACGGCGGGGAUGGUGCCUGGGGCCAGCCCGGCACAUCUCUCCCCGCUGCAGCCAAAAGCGAGUGCCACCCUCAGAUCCGCCCAACGCCGCGGGAGAGCCCACGCUUACUCCAGACCAGCCUCGCCGCCGGGGCAGAUCCCGCGCCCUGGGGCCAGCAGGGCAGGGGGCAUCUCGCCUGCUCUGCCCCGAGCCGUCGGCGCGGCCCCGAGCGCAGCCCAGGCGAGGAUGGCACGCGGUCCUCACGCGGGCAGCCCCGGGACACCGAGCGCCAUCCUGGCGCCACCUGGGCGACAGCGAUCCCCCGUCCCCGGGGCUGAGCUGCCCAAACGGCGGUGCCCUGCGCGGCCCGAGUGCGGCGCGGUGAUUGCRGACCGGUCCGGCGGCCCCCCACCGAGCCCGCGCGCUGCCCCGCUCCCCCGGCUGCUAAAUCCAGGCAUCCCUCUGCCUGCUCCCAGAAUGUGCGGAGGAGAAGUUAAAGUGGGAUUGGGGGUGGGAGGAACUUUUUUUUUUUCCCCUUCUUUUCUUUUUAAACAUUUCCUCUUUCACGCAGGGUUAUUCACCGGGGAAAGACAGGCGGGUGAGUCACGCUGGUGGGAGCGGGGAGCUGAGCGGGUCUCUGCGGCGGGCGCACAUGCCCCGUGCGGGCAGGGGGGGCAGGCCGGCCCCGAGGCCGGGCUGGGGGCCUCCCGCCCUUGCCCACCACCCCAAGCCCGCGGUGACGCGCGGCGGCGGGGCGACGCCGUCACAGCCGUGCUGGGAGCGAUGCUGCAAUGUCACAAGCGCCACGAGGCUGCGACCUCACGCGAGCUUCGAUAUAAGGGGAGCCGCGGUCCCGUCCAGCCCCAGCAAGUGGUCUUGCCUCGCAGGUGGCGAAAUGUCCCUGUGCCCACCGGGCUGAGGGAUGGAGCGUCUCCGCCCACGCGCUGCUUAACGUCACCGUUGGGGCCUCGGGUUCUGAAGGGCAGAGGCACAUUUGGGAUGGGAUCGAAGCUAUCAUGUUGCAAGAAACACUGCGUAGCACACAGCUGGAAAGCCGGUUUCUAG